UACGGAGGGUGCAAGCGUUGUUCGGAAUUAUUGGGCGUAAAGCGCGUGUAGGCGGUCAUUUAAGUCUGAUGUGAAAGCCCUGGGCUCAACCCGGGAAGUGCAUUGGAAACUGGAUGACUUGAGUACGGGAGAGGGUAGUGGAAUUCCGAGUGUAGGGGUGAAAUCCGUAGAUAUUCGGAGGAACACCGGUGGCGAAGGCGGCUACCUGGACCGAUACUGACGCUGAGACGCGAAAGCGUGGGGAGCAAACAGG
rnacentral:rRNA from 2 species